ensembl:lncRNA CORO1A-AS1 CORO1A antisense RNA 1
CACCCCCAUGUAAACUGCACACAGGAAGGGAGAGGCCACUCCGACUGCUCUGAGGUCCAGGUGGCCCUCGCCCCGGCCCACCCGCGCCUCCCAGGCCCAGCCUCACCUGCUGCCGAGAGAGGACAGUGAUCCCCCAAAAGCCGGAGGUGGAGGAGGAGGAGGAAGAGGAGGAAGGAGCUGGAGGAGCCGGGGACUCGCCCGCUGAAGAUGCUCUUGUCAAGACAAUGAAUGAGAAGCAGCCGUGCGCCCGCCUCCGGGGUGGCCGCGCCCCUUGGGGCGGAGCUCUUCCAGGCCCG